UGGGGAAUUUUGGACAAUGGGCGCAAGCCUGAUCCAGCCAUGCCGCGUGCGGGAAGAAGGCCUUCGGGUUGUAAACCGCUUUUGUCAGGGAAGAAAUCUUCUGAGUUAAUACCUCGGGAGGAUGACGGUACCUGAAGAAUAAGCACCGGCUAACUACGUGCCAGCAGCCGCGGUAAUACGUAGGGUGCAAGCGUUAAUCGGAAUUACUGGGCGUAAAGCGUGCGCAGGCGGUUUUGUAAGACAGAGGUGAAAUCCCCGGGCUCAACCUGGGAACUGCCUUUGUGACUGCAAGCUUGAGUGCGGCAGAGGGGGAUGGAAUUCCGCGUGUAGCAGUGGAAAUUGCGUAGAUAUGCGGAGGAACACCGAUGGCGAAGCAAUCCCCUGGGCCUGCACUGACGCUCAUGC
rnacentral:rRNA from 1 species